rnacentral:rRNA from 1 species
UACGGGGGGGGCAAGCGUUGUUCGGAAUUACUGGGCGUAAAGGGCUCGUAGGCGGCCAACUAAGUCAAACGUGAAAUCCCUCGGCUUAACCGGGGAACUGCGCUUGAUACUGGAUGGCUUGAGAUUGGGAGAGGGAUGCGGAAUUCCAGGUGUAGCGGUGAAAUGCGUAGAUAUCGUAAGGAAGACCAGUGGCGAAGGCGGGUCUCUGGACAGUUCCUGACGCUGAGGCGCGAAGGCCAGGGGAGCAAACGGG